GUUUUCCACUUACAAACAAGAAGACACUUUUCAAUCAUGUGAUGGAUAGUACAUGAAUCCCAUGGUGGCGGCUGGUAUGCAUUCUUUGUCGCUUGUCCUUGCAAUAAACGCCAAGUAGGACCGCCAUGGGGCCAGGUCAAAAAACUCCUUACACGGCUUGGUCUUCCCAGUCGGAUCCGGUGAAGGAGAUUGAAAGGACAAAUUGACAGAAUUGCUCACGUAUGCUUCAAUGCAGCAGUACAAUAAUCCUCGAUGCUUCUCAAGCCUACGGUACUCAUUUUGAUAAGACAUGAUCCCUACUUGAAUAUAUGGAUGGUAUUCAUUCACCAUCGCUAGAGGAACAUGACUUAAAACUUGGGAGUAACUACUCUCAUCGCUUAGGAACUGCUGAUGUGAAGGUGCUAUGGUAGCUCACAGCUAUGUAUUUAUCGCCUUGUGCAUAGGUAUCUCGAAUUUCAGUUGCCUAUCUUCUAGCCAGUUUGGUUUGUCAUCUUCUCGCUUCCUGGUAGUAGUAUGUCUUUACCAUGUCAUAUGCUCACAUGCCUUCUGUAUGAUUGUAGCAUAACACGUAUCAAUCAUGAAUAUACAUCUGGGCGAGGCUUUGGCAUCAUACAUAUGUAUCAUUUUCUGGCAGUUACUCGGAGAUGCCAUGUUAUUAUGAUGUACACUCACCUCCCGGUUCUGGUCCUAGUUUAAAUUUGGAUGACUUACUUACUACAAUAUAGACUACGUACUUAAAUUCUCACAUUUACUGUUGCCGC
rnacentral:lncRNA from 1 species